rnacentral:rRNA from 1 species
AGAUUGAACGCUGGCGGCAUGCCUUACACAUGCAAGUCGAACGGCAGCACGGGAGCAAUCCUGGUGGCGAGUGGCGAACGGGUGAGUAAUAUAUCGGAACGUGCCCAGUCGUGGGGGAUAACGCAGCGAAAGCUGUGCUAAUACCGCAUACGAUCUAUGGAUGAAAGCGGGGGAUCGCAAGACCUCGCGCGAUUGGAGCGGCCGAUAUCAGAUUAGCUAGUUGUGGGUAAAAGCCUACCAAGGCGACGAUCUGUAGCUGGUCUGAGAGGACGACCAGCCACACUGGAACUGAGACACGGUCCAGACUCUACGGGAGGCAGCAGUGGGGAAUUUUGGACAAUGGGCGCAAGCCUGAUCCAGCAAUGCCGCGUGCAGGAUGAAGGCCUGGUUGUAACGUAGUCGUUUGUACGGUAACGAAACGGUUACUUCGUCUAAUACUAGGGACGUAAUAGACGGUACCGUAACGAAACGUAAGACACCGACUAACGUAACGUACG